ensembl:snRNA U6 U6 spliceosomal RNA
GUGCUCGCUUCGGCAGCACAUAUAAAAAAUUGGAACGAUACAGAGAAGAUUAGCAUGGCCCCUGCACAAGGAUGACACGCAAAUUCGUGAAGCAUUCCAUAUUUAA